rnacentral:SRP_RNA from 1 species
GCCAGGCGUGGUGGUGCACACCUAUAGUCCCAGCUACCUGGGAGGCUGAGGUGGGAGGAUCACUUGAGCCCAGGAGUUCAAGGCUACAGUGAGCCAUGAUCCCACCACUGCACUCCAGCCUGGGCAACAGAGUGAGACCCUGUCUCCA